rnacentral:rRNA from 1 species
CGUCUAUAUACGUAUAGCAUAUCAAUAAGCGGAGGAAAAGAAACUAACAAGGAUUCCCCUAGUAACGGCGAGUGAAGCGGGAAGAGCUCAAAUUUGAAAUCUUCAAGGGUUUCCCUUGACGAAUUGUAGUUUAAAGAAGUGUUUUCUGUUAGAGAGGUGGUAAAAGUUCUUUGGAAUAGGACAUCAUAGAGGGUGAGAAUCCCGUAUUUGAUCACUUUCUACUAACGUUGUGAUACACUUUCAAAGAGUCGGAUUGUUUGGGAAUGCAGUCCAAAAUGGGUGGUAAAUUUCAUCUAAAGCUAAAUAUUGGCGAGAGACCGAUAGCGAACAAGUACCGUGAGGGAAAGAUGAAAAGAACUUUGAAAAGAGAGUUAAACAGUACGUGAAAUUGUCAAAAGGGAAGCGUUUGACACCAGUGUUGUUUAUUCGAAAAUCAAUUCAAUAGUUUUUGAUUCUAAGUAGUAUUGACUUCAUCAGCUUGCUGCUUUCUUCUCAGAAAUUAUUGAAUGCACUUUUCAGUUAACAAGUCAACAUCAAUUUCUUUUGUUGUAAAAGGGUAAGAGGAAGGUGGCUUGCGCUUCGGCUCAAGUGUUUAUAGCCUUUUAUCUCUGCAAUCGGAGGGAUUGAGGUCUGCAGCGUAGAUCCUUCGGGGUUAGAUACAUUGGUGCUAAGCUAUAGCCUUGUAUAGACAACUUGUUGACUAUGCUCAGUCAUGUAGCUUACUCGCUGAUGCUAUUUUACCUACGCUUAGGAUGUUGAUAGUCACAGCGUGAC